UACGUAGGGUGCAAGCGUUAAUCGGAAUUACUGGGCGUAAAGCGUGCGCAGGCGGUUUUGUAAGUUUGUCGUGAAAGCCCCGGGCUCAACCUGGGAAUUGCGAUGAAGACUUCAAGGCUUGAAUCUGGCAGAGGGGGGUAGAAUUCCACGUGUAGCAGUGAAAUGCGUAGAGAUGUGGAGGAACACCGAUGGCGAAGGCAGCCCCCUGGGUCAAGAUUGACGCUCAUGCACGAAAGCGUGGGGAGCAAACAGG
rnacentral:rRNA from 1 species